GGACAGUCAGUGGGCCAUACGAUUGGAGGAAAGCAUUCCGGGCAAUGUGAUGGGAAGAGCUAUGAGAGCCCAGGGAUGAAGUCAAGAUGAAAAACCACCUGAAGAAGUAUGUACAUGGUCCAGAACACGGGCUCUGGAGUUCCUGUGUGACUUUGGACGAGUUGAUCACCUUAAACCUCUACUGCUCAUUUGUGAAGGAGAGAGAAUAGCAACACCUGUCCAAGGAUUUCGAGGAUUUGCAACAAUCCACGGUUCAACAAGGGUGCACAGAGACCCAAGAGUGUGGAAGAGGAAGCCAUAGAGUGAUGGAAUAAAUAACUGGUUUCCUUGAAAAUGAAUGGCAAAGUCAUCUGGUACAUUUUCCCUCCUUUUUUUAGCACUAAGUUCAUUGACCUGACUACUCAGAAAAAAUUAAAACAUGAUGAUAUCAAUGUUGGAGUGAUUUGAUGUUGUAGACCAGAUGUUUUUAUGCCAGUUAAAAUACCUCAGCUAGUCUCCAUUCAGGAAACCCCACAGACAUUGAGUGUGUUCAGCCUCUCACAGAACCAUCAGAACCAUAUUAGGUAGCUCCUGCUAAGAACUUAUAAAUAUUUAUAAGAAAGGAUCAGUAUAUUGUUUUUAUAAAUAUUGAAGUUUAAUAGAAAGGCUAUAAUGCAUCCUCCAAAAUUAAGAGGCAAGGAGUAAUAAUAAUAAUCAGGCAAACAAUUAUUGCCACCUUUGCUCAAUAACUUUGUAGGCUACAGAAGUGUAGCUUAAGGCUUUCUUCUUAUUCUAAGUCUUCGGUUAAAACACUUUAAAUGCAAUAAACCCAUUACUAAAAAUUGAAAGUAAUCUUUGAACACUAAGCUAUAAAAAUUACUGAAACUCAACUCAAAAUCAAAAUGAAUACAAAAGCAAAAUCUUACAAUGAAUUUUUCUGUCAUUUCACAGAAAAUACAGAUUAAUACUGAGGUAUGAAAUAUUAAAAUAUAUUUUAAAAAUAAUUCAAGUCAUGUUACUGCAUUACUUUUCCUUCAAUACAGGCCAUUAGCCUUUUAAACUAAAUAAUAAGAUUAAUGUCAUAGCCAAGAAAACAAUAGAAUUAAGAAUUAUAUUAGAAUAUGUAACAAACCUGCACGUUGUGCA
rnacentral:lncRNA from 1 species